CAGCAGCCACGGGAAUACGAAGGGGGCUAGCGUUGUUCGGAAUUACUGGGCGCAAAGGGCGCGUAGGCGGCCAUUCAAGUUAGAUGUGAAAGCCCUGGGCUCAAACUAGGAAUUGCAUUUGAUACUGUUUGGCUUGAGUUCGGGAGAGGUGAGUGGAAUUCCCAGUGUAGAGGUGGAAUUCGUAGAUAUUAGGAAGAACACCAGUGGCGAAGGCGGCUCACUGGUCCGGUACUGACGCUGAGGUGCGAAAGCGUGGGGAGCAAACAGGAUUAGAUACCCGCGUAGUCCCUGUCUCUUAUAC
rnacentral:rRNA from 1 species